UUCUUGGAGAGUUUGAUCCUGGCUCAGGACGAACGCUGGCGGCGUGCCUAAUACAUGCAAGUCGAGCGAAUCAAUAGGAGCUUGCUCCUGUUGGUUAGCGGCGGACGGGUGAGUAACACGUGGGCAACCUGCCUGUAAGACUGGGAUAACUUCGGGAAACCGGAGCU
rnacentral:ncRNA from 1 species